rnacentral:rRNA from 1 species
UACGUAGGGUGCAAGCGUUGUCCGGAAUUAUUGGGCGUAAAGAGCUCGUAGGCGGUUUGUCGCGUCGGCUGUGAAAACCCGGGGCUCAACCCCGGGCCUGCAGUCGAUACGGGCAGACUAGAGUGUGGUAGGGGAGACUGGAAUUCCUGGUGUAGCGGUGAAAUGCGCAGAUAUCAGGAGGAACACCGGUGGCGAAGGCGGGUCUCUGGGCCAUAACUGACGCUGAGGAGCGAAAGCGUGGGGAGCGAACAGG